rnacentral:rRNA from 1 species
CGGUAAUUCCAGCUCCAAUAGCGUAUACUAAAGUUGUUGCAGUUAAAAAGCUCGUAGUUGGAUUUCUGCGGGGACGGAGCGGCCGGACGCAACUUGCGUCUCGAGCUAGCGCUUUCCCCGCAUCCUGCCGCGAACCGUGCUACCAUUAGCUUGGUGGCGCUGGGGAUCGGCUCGAUUACUUUGAGAAAAAUAGAGUGUUCAAAGCAGGCCACACGCCUUGAAUACGUUAGCAUGGAAUAAUGACUAAGGACUUCGGUUCUAUUUUGUUGGUGUUCGGGACUGAAGUAAUGAUUGAUAGGGACAGUUGGGGCGGUCUGUAUUCCAAAGCGAGAGGUGAAAUUCUUAGACCUUCGGAAGACAAACAGCUGCGAAAGCGUUCCGCAAGGAUGUUCCCUUUGAUCAAGAACGAAAGUUGGGGGAUCGAAGACGAUCAGAUACCGUCGUAGUCUCAACUAUAAACUAUACCAGCUAGGGAUCGGUCAACGUUUAAUCAUUCGACUUGAUCGGCACCUUAUGAGAAAUCAAAGCAUCUGGGUUCCGGGGGGAGUAUGGUCGCAAGGCUGAAACUUAAAGGAAUUGACGGAAGGGCACCACCAGCCGUGGAGCCUGUGGCUUAAUUUGACUCAACACGGGAAAACUUACCAGGUCCAGACAUAGUAAGGAUUGACAGAUUGAUAGCUCUUUCUUGAUUCUGUGGGUGGUGGUGCAUGGCCGUUCUUAGUUGGUGGAGUGAUUUGUCUGGUUAAUUCCGUUAACGAACGAGACCCCAGCCUGCUAAAUAGCGCGGCUGAGCUUUGCUCGGUGCGAGCUUCUUAGAGGGACUAUGAUGCGCGAUAGCACAUGGAAGUUUGGGGCAAUACCAGGUCUGUGAUGCCCUUAGAUGUUCUGGUCCGCACACGGGCUACACUGGCGCCUGCAACGAGCAUAUCAGCUGGCCCGAGAGGGUCUUGGCUAAUCUUUUGAACCGGCGCCGUGCUUGGGAUUGACCAUUGCAAUUGUUGGUCAUGCAACGAGGAAUGCCUUGUAAACGCGAGUCAUCAGCUCGCAUUGAAUACGUCCCUGCCCUUUGUACACACCGCCCGUCGCUCCUACCGAUGAAUGUUCCGAUGAAAUUUUCGGAGAGCGCCAGAGAACGGGGCUCUGCCUUGCAGAUCUGGAGGCUCAAAGUCACUUAAAUCUGAACAUUUCGAGGAAGGAGAAGUCGUAACAAGGUAACC